rnacentral:lncRNA from 1 species
GAAGGACUUUCUGAACGAUCGGGCCGACUCGUGGGGGUCCUGAUGCUUCUGAACAUUGAAGGCCUUUCUGAAUGUUCGGGCCGACUCGUGGGGGUCCUGAUGCUUCCUGAAUGAUCGGGUCUACUCGUGGGGGUCCUGAUGCUUCUGAACAUUGAAGGACUAUCUGAAUGUUCGGGCCGACUCGUGGUAGUUCCUUGGGUGCUGAUGCUUCUGAACGUUGAAGGACUUUCUGAAUGAUCGGGCUGACUCGUGGCAAUCCCUUGGGUGCUGAUGCUUCUGAACAUUGACUGCAAUCAAUUGCAGGUCAAUACAAGUUUUAUAAAUAGGCAAUUAAUUUCAAAAAUUAAAAUCUUCAAUUAGUAUAUAGGUGAAUGUUUUUUUAGUGCGUUAUAUUUUGAAUUAAGU